UCCUUGGCUGGCACUGGUGGCCCGAAGCCCACGAGCGCGCGCUCCCCGGGCCCGGGGAAGAGCUCGGGCGGGGGGACCCCAGUUCCAGAGGCGCCUCCGGUGCCGCUGCGCGUCUUGGCCCCAGGACUCUCAGCGAAGACGGACGAGGAGCCCGAGUCCUUGCGGAAGGACUGGCGCACGGGCGAGCCGCGGCUGGGUGGGCCUGAGUAGGGGCUGUGGGGCGGUGGAGGUCCGCCGGGGGGCGCCCCCCACGUCCGCCAGCUUCUGCGGCGAUGAGGGCGGCAGGCGGAAGCUGUAGCCGUCGCCGUAGAGCGCGCCGCCGCCGGCCGCCGCCUUGUAGAGCGAGUCCUCCAGGUCGGACUGCAGCGCGGCGGCCGAGUAGGUGCUGAGCGAGCGCACCGAGCCGCGCUUGUAGAGCCCGCCGGCGCCCGGGAACGCGAAGGGUUCGCCGGCCGCCGCCAGGCUCAGGCGGCCCUCGUGCAACAGCCCGUAGGGGUCGGCGUACAGGCCCUCGCCCUUCACCAGCAUCAUGCCGCCCGCCUUGCCCGCCAGGUCCUCGUCAGGCUUCACAUCGCGCCGCUCCAGGAUGGCGCUGGGGCUGGGGCUCACUCCCUGCGCCCCCGCCGUCGCCGCCCCCCGGGCGCCCCCCCAGCCGCUCUGCCGCAUGGUGCACCGGGCUGCCGGCGUACGAGGGCGGGCGCCCCCCUGCGGCGUAGGACAGGCGCGAGCGCGACGGCGACCCCGAAGGCAGCCCCGAAGGCAGCCCGGGCGGUGGCGAGCUGGAUGCCAGGACCCACCCACCCAGUCUCCCCAGUGCCCCGGGCAUCCCAGCUGUACCCGGAGGUCCCCGUUGGUGAGGUGGGAUCCAGGGAAAGCAGCGUACAGCGGCUCCUUCCGGUAGAUCUUGAUAAUACUGCGGUCUUGGAUGUCCCUGGGGGGAUGCAGAGGGUCACCGCGUGUCCCCCAGCCUGCACAAUAUGGAGGGGCAGCUGCUCCAGGCAGAGAUGGGUGGCACGAGGGACGAGGACUCCUAACCCCUUCCUAAGUCCUUCGGGCUGCCCGCCACCCCCUGCACACAGCAGCUCCUGCCUGGCCCACCCCUCCUCCUCAGGCUGUUUUCCGGUUAACCUGGGCCCGGGGAACCUGCAGAGGCGGGAGGUUGGGGGGGGUGGAAGGAGCUGGGGGGAGGCCCGCCCACCCAUCCCCAGGCCGCGCCCACCGGACGUCCUCCAGCUCGUAGAAGACAUUGCGCGCCUCGUCUUUGAUGAGGAUGGCGGUGUUGGGCGACUUGAGCAUGCCCAUGGUGAGCUUUUGCGGGAACAUGUGCGCGAUGAGCGCGUGGAGCGUGUCCAGGCUGCUGACCUCGUGCGUGAUGUGCACGCGCCGCGUCUCCUCCCCGAACUGCAGGAACAGCACCCCCUGCGAAAGACACCCGAGGAGAGCGACGGGGGCUCUCGGGAGCUGCACCGGCCCCACAGCGGCACGGGCUGAGGCCCGACGCUGCCCCCGAGUGAAGGUGAACCCAGGCGCUCAUGCUGCCGGCUGCCCGAACACCCACUGGACCCCGGGCAGCCGGAGCCCGGAUCGGGGCGUGGGAUGGGACCAGGGCAGCGCCGGUGGGGCAGAAACAGCAGAGUGCUAGGGAGACAGAGGGGGUAGUUAGAGAAGAGGGGGACAGAGAAAGGGAGAAGGAAGUAGGGUUAGAAAGGGCAGAGAGAGAAGGGCAUAAGGGAUGGCGAGGGAGAGGGACGGGGAGGAGGUCUGGGGGGGCGGGGAGCUCUGAGCGGGGCCAGUGCGAGGGUGCAGGGGCCGGGCUGGGAGGGGCGGGGAGGCGGAGCCUGCGGCGGAGGCGGCGGGCGCUCAGGUUGGGCGGUACCUGGCGAGCGCAGCUUGGUCUGGCUGGCAGAGCGGGAAAGGGGCAGGCUCUGGCGGAAGCGGUUCAUCCUGCUGAAGCCCAGGGGUAGCUCGGCCUCCGACAUGGUCUCCAGUGACUCAGCCGAGGCGUAGGACAGCUUGGCUGCCUGGUCCGCCAGUCCCGGCUGGGCUCCCUGAGUGUGGCGCGAGCUUCGGGUCUGCAGGGCAGGGCAGGGUGAGAGGAGCUCAGCCACAGCCAGCUCACAGGAAGCCGGCCGGCCAGUGACACUCACACGCUCUCACAGGAGGGGCUCCUGCACCCCAGACUCUCCGUGUGCCUGCAGGACAGUCCCCCCAUCUCUCGCUCGGGGCCUUGGCCUCCCCGGGACACCUAGCAGCUUAGCACUGGGCAGAGGACUCAGGCACCCCCAGAAACCAGUCAGAAACCAUCUGAGCGGGAGCCUCGGGCAAGCCUGCUAUUUUAAGCUUCCAAAGAACAACAAGAAUUUGUCACCGAGGUGAGCAGCAGAAUCGUUGAGCAAAUUGGGGCAUUAGUUCCAGACAUUAAUUAAGCGGCGGGUUUAUGAGCGGCGAAUUUAUUCAGAGAGUUGGGGUGGGGAGCAGGGGAAGCAGGGCCCAGGGAGAAAGCAAAGAAAGUAAGGAACUCUGGGGUCCUGGUGUGGGGAGGCGUGGGCCCUGUGGAGCUGGCACGAACAGUGUCCUUGCUUCAGAGUGACCCAGACAGCCAUACCAGACCCCUCGGAGCCAGCGGACUACCUCCCUGGCCCAGUGCGCAUGCGCAUCCCGGCUCGGUGCACGGGAGCACAUGGCAUGCCUGCCAGGCUCCGGUCCCUCCCUGCCAGGCACGAGCUGCUACACAGCCAGCCAGGCCCCAGCAGGACACCCCUUCCCUGAGGCUACAGCUGAGGGAGAGAUCUGGCUAGGGGUAGAAGGGUGUCCCAGGACAGCACGAUGGUCUAUCCUGGGGGGGGAAGGGGUGUCAUACUAUGAUUGCAAUUGUACUUUAAGACCCUACUUCUCUCUUGUUCAUUUUCCUGUCUUCUGCUGCCAUGAACUCUUGCCCCUCUGCCACCCUGCCUUGCAGCCAGCCAACUAUGGACUGAAACCUCUACAAAUUGAGCAGGAAGGAAGCAGUGCCUGAACUUCCCAUUUCCACUGGGACCUGGUCACUCGGGGGGCCCAGGAUGGGCAGGCUGCAAGCCUACUGGUGGGAGCAGGAGAAGAUUCCAGAUGUUGGCAGCCAAAUUCCAGUUAAUAGGAACUAUCCCCAGAGAGCCACAGGUAGGAAAGGGCACAGAUGACCAUGACACAGGGAACCUACAAGCAUCAAAAGAGGGACGAUGACAUGUCAAGGCCAUGGGGUCAGAGGUGAUGGCUGCUGGUUUUGGCAGGCCAGGAAAAUUUCCCAGAAAAGGUGGCACUGGAGCAGGGCCUUAGAGACUAAGCAGGUAGAGAUGGGGGGAGAGGUGCACCUAGUAGAAGGGACAACACCGGGAGGGUGUGACAGACACUCGGAGUCCAGCUCAGCUGGUGCAGCCUGGGAGGAGCAGGCUGGACUGCAAAGGGGACUGAGCCAGGCAGUGGAGGUUUAAGUGGGGGCAAACAGAGAGCAGGCAAGUGGGAUGCGAAGGGGUCCCACAGGCCUGAGCCAAAGGUGAACACAGGGCCCUGUGGGUCAGAGAAGGACAGUGACACCCCAGAGCUGGGCAAGAGGUGGGGUGCUGUGGCAGCAAAGGGAGUGAAGGAGGCUGGGUCAGGCACAAUGUCCUGCAGCGGUAGAGAUGGCAGAGGAGCGACCCUAUAUGCCCUCACAUUCCUACAAUGGGGGGACUGAGAUUCAAGAUGAGUAACCUGGGGUCCUCCUGCAUUCCCUAGAGACCAGCAGGCCCUUCCAGAUGGCUGGGGACAAGGAAAGGGCGGCCCUGAGGCCAGACUGGUUCUUGGCAAAGCUGAAGGCACCCUGCUGACCAGUGCCAGCCUCAGCAGGAGGACAGAGGCAGCAGAUGGCUCGGCUCUGGGGUGCCUGGCACAAGCAGACAAGAUUCCCCAGGCCUCAGUCACUUGCAGGGCACAGGGACAUCGGGGGUUCCUGAUGGGAGGAUGCCAUGUAAGCGGGUCCUGUACCACCGAACGCUUUCAUGGCAGGGGAGAUAGAAAGGGGCUGAGUGGGG
ensembl:lncRNA